rnacentral:lncRNA from 1 species
AUGUCAGUCUCAGGAGUUUGGAGGUUCUGCUCGUGAGCAUGCCAGGACAAAGAGCAUUCACUGUAAGCAGGGACCAGCAUCAUUUACCCUGACUGAGCAGAGAUCAAAGUGCUGCCUGCCCACCCACUAGCAAAGCAGAGGUCUUCAAAAGGGUUCUUGAGAUUUUUUGAUGAACCAGAUCUUUAUCAUUUGCCCUGAAAACUACGGUCAUUGAAAACCAGAAGUGUUGACCCAGAGACCACCUGAUAUCUCCGCAUUGAACACAGCAGGAGCUGUACCACAGCAGCAGAGCCCCGAGCCCUACCUGCAGCCUCAGCCUCACGCCCUGACCUGGCACACCAGCUGCUCUUCUCCUCCUGACCAGGAUCCUAAAACACAAGGUCAGAGUAAUGCUUCACGGAAUCAGAGUGGGAGCUGGGAUGUGUGUAGAAGUCCUCAGGAACCAGAGGAACCCCUAAGACUACCAGUAGUCCAUCUUCAGAUAAAACAUUAA